AUCUGGAUAGUUUAAUAAAAAAUCUUGAUUUGUGGUGUCAAGGAUGUAAAAUUUUUACUUCAGAUC
rnacentral:tRNA from 1 species